rnacentral:tRNA from 1 species
GGCUCUAUGGUGAAAUUCACGUUAGAUUGCAAAUCUAAAGAUGUACUGUAAGAAAGUAUUAGAGUUU